GGGAGUGGAUGGUGCCUGGUGGUGCUCCUGGUCUUCAAAACCAGUCGUGAGGCAGCGUUCCUGUCUCUGGUGGGUUCGAUUCCCACACACUCCC
rnacentral:tRNA from 1 species